GACGAACGCUGGCGGCGUGCUUAACACAUGCAAGUCGAACGAUGAAGCUGGAGCUUGCUCCGGUGGAUUAGUGGCGAACGGGUGAGUAACACGUGAGCAAUCUGCCCUUCACUCUGGGAUAACUGCGGGAAACUGUAGCUAAUACCGGAUACGAGACCUUGGGGCAUCCCAGGGUCUGGAAAGAAUUUCGGUGAAGGAUGAGCUCGCGGCCUAUCAGCUAGUUGGGGAGGUAAUGGCUCACCAAGGCGACGACGGGUAGCCGGCCUGAGAGGGUGACCGGCCACACUGGGACUGUGACACGGCCCGGACUCCUACGGGAGGCAGCAGUGGGGAAUAUUGCACAAUGGGCGAAAGCCUGAUGCAGCAGCGCCGCGUGAGGGAUGAAGGCCUUCGGGUUGUAAACCUCUUUUAGUAGGGAAGAAGCGCAAGUGACGGUACCUACAGAAAAAGCACCGGCUAACUACGUGCCAGCCGCCGCCGUAA
rnacentral:rRNA from 1 species